rnacentral:rRNA from 1 species
UACGGGGGGGGCAAGCGUUGUUCGGAAUUACUGGGCGUAAAGGGCUCGUAGGCGGCCAACUAAGUCAGACGUGAAAUCCCUCGGCUUAACCGGGGAACUGCAUCUGAUACUGGUUGGCUUGAGUGUGGGAGAGGGAUGUGGAAUUCCAGGUGUAGCGGUGAAAUGCGUAGAUAUCAGGAGGAACACCGGUGGCGAAGGCGGGUCUCUGGGCCGAUACUGACGCUGAGGAGCGAAAGCGUGGGGAGCAAACAGG